rnacentral:rRNA from 1 species
GACAGAGGGUGCGAACGUUGCUCGGAAUCACUGGGCGUAAAGCGCGUGUAGGCGGAUAGUCAAGUCAGGUGUGAAAUCCCUGGGCUCAACCUAGGAACUGCAUCUGAAACUGGCUGUCUUGAGUGUCGGAGAGGGAAGCGGAAUUCCGGGUGUAGAGGUGAAAUUCGUAGAUAUCCGGAGGAACACCGGUGGCGAAGGCGGCUUCCUGGACGACUACUGACGCUGAGACGCGAAAGCGUGGGGAGCAAACAGG